rnacentral:rRNA from 1 species
AGCGUAGACGGCGCAGCAAGUCUGAUGUGAAAGGCAGGGGCUUAACCCCUGGACUGCAUUGGAAACUGCUGUGCUUGAGUGCCGGAGGGGUAAGCGGAAUUCCUAGUGUAGCGGUGAAAUGCGUAGAUAUUGGGAAGAACACCAGUGGCGAAGGCGGCUUUCUGGACUGUAACUGACGCUGAGGCUCGAAAGCUAGGGUAGCAACG